rnacentral:lncRNA from 1 species
GUCUGUAUAGGAGCAGCCCUUUAUAUGACAAAACAGAUUUGGAGUGUGAGUAAGAACCACGGUCCUGGCUGCUCUUGUCUCUGGAAUUCUUGGGAUCAAGUGAAGAGGAGCAAUCACUGCACAAGGCUUAUAAAUUCUGAGUUGGUCUUUCCUCUCUCAAACAAAAAUAUGCUCACAAAAGCACUUUAUACCUGUGUUAGCAGGUGGGAGGCAGAACUCUCUGGGCAGUUUGAAGAUGUGGCUCCUCUCAGUUCUUUACCUCCUGUGAAACCACUUGUUCCCAGUGUGCCUUUCCCAUCUCAGUGUCUCGGA